rnacentral:lncRNA from 1 species
AAUUCAAAGCUUUAUUGGUGGAGAAAAUUAAUUCGAAUGAUGUGGACGCAGAAGUACUACACAUGGUUCAUAAAAACAUACAGUAUCUUGUGGGUUGUAGUUAAUUGUAAGUCUUAAUACUCGCUUAAUUAAGUGAAAGUAAACCAUAUAAUAUAUCUUGUGGUUUCGUUUCCAAUUUAGCUAGCUCGAUAAUUCAGUUUCAA